rnacentral:rRNA from 1 species
UACGGAGGGUGCAAGCGUUGUCCGGAAUGAUUGGGCGUAAAGCGUCCGCAGGUGGCACUUCAAGUCUGGUUUUAAAUACUAGGGCUCAACCCUGGGGCGGGAGUGGAAACUGAAGAGCUAGAGUUCGGUAGGGGUAGAGGGAAUUCCCAGUGUAGCGGUGAAAUGCGUAGAGAUUGGGAAGAACACCGGUGGCGAAAGCGCUCUGCUAGGCCGAAACUGACACUCAUGGACGAAAGCAAGGGGAGCGAAUGGG